rnacentral:rRNA from 1 species
CCCGGGCCUUGUACACACCGCCCGUCACACCAUGGGAGUUGGUUUUACCUUAAGACGGUGUGCUAACCGCAAGGAAGCAGCCGGCCACGGUAAGGUCAGCGACUGGGGUG